rfam:Ictidomys tridecemlineatus contig039527, whole genome shotgun sequence.
GGGGAUGUAGCUCAGUGGUAGAGCACUUGCCUUGCAUGCACAAGGCCCUGGUUUUGAUCCUCAGCACCAUCU